rnacentral:rRNA from 1 species
ACGGGAGGCAGCAGUGGGGAAUAUUGGACAAUGGGGGCAACCCUGAUCCAGCAAUGCCGCGUGUGUGAAGAAGGCCUGAGGGUUGUAAAGCACUUUCUAUUGUGAAGAAAGGUUAAUAGUUAAUACCUAUUGACUGUGACGUUAACUUUAGAAGAAGCACCGGCUAACUCCGUGCCAGCAGCCGCGGUAAUACGGAGGGUGCAAGCGUUAAUCGGAAUUACUGGGCGUAAAGCGUGCGUAGGUGGUUGUUUAAGUCAGAUGUGAAAGCCCCGGGCUUAACCUGGGAACUGCAUUUGAAACUGGAUAACUAGAGUAUAGUAGAGGAAAGUAGAAUUUCUGGUGUAGCGGUGAAAUGCGUAGAUAUCAGAAGGAAUACCGAUGGCGAAGGCAGCUUUCUGGA